UGUACUGAAGAUCUCACUGAAAACAGUUUUCACCCAGGCAGCAUCUCAGUGCAUAAAUGUUCGGAGCAACCUGUAGCCAUGGCAAAUCGCUGACAUUUUAAUGGUGCUCUCAGCACCAAGUCUAAGAAUCCACUGGGCUUCUGUCUCUGCUCAUGAUUCUCCAUCUCGAAGUGACUGCA